UACGUAGGGUGCGAGCGUUAAUCGGAAUUAUUGGGCGUAAAGCGUGCGCAGGCGGUUUGACGAGUCCGAUGUGAAAGCCCCGGGCUCAACCUGGGAAUGGCAUUGGAAACUGGCGGGCUGGAGUGUGGCAGAGGGGGGUGGAAUUCCGCGUGUAGCAGUGAAAUGCGUAGAGAUCGGGAGGAACAUCAGUUGCGAAGGCGGCUCUCUGGGCCAGCACUGACACUGAGGCACGAAAGCGUGGGGAGCAAACAGG
rnacentral:rRNA from 1 species